rnacentral:rRNA from 1 species
UACGGAGGGUGCAAGCGUUAUCCGGAUUCACUGGGCUUAAAGGGCGCGUAGGCGGGUUUGUAAGUCAGCGGUGAAAUCUCCGGGCUUAACUCGGAAACUGCCAUUGAUACUAUAGAUCUUGAAUUUUCUGGAGGUAAGCGGAAUAUGUCAUGUAGCGGUGAAAUGCUUAGAUAUGACAUAGAACACCAAUGGCGAAGGCAGCUUGCUGGAGGAAUAUUGACACUGAGGCGCGAAAGCGUGGGGAUCAAACAGG